GACGAACGCUAGCGGCGUGCUUAACACAUGCAAGUCGAGCGGUAAGGCCCUUCGGGGUACACGAGCGGCGAACGGGUGAGUAACACGUGGGUGAUCUGCCUUGCACUUCGGGAUAAGCCUGGGAAACUGGGUCUAAUACCGGAUAUGACCUUCCAGUGCAUGCUGGUUGGUGGAAAGAUUUAUCGGUGCGAGAUGGGCCCGCGGCCUAUCAGCUUGUUGGUGAGGUAACGGCUCACCAAGGCGACGACGGGUAGCCGACCUGAGAGGGUGACCGGCCACACUGGGACUGAGACACGGCCCAGACUCCUACGGGAGGCAGCAGUGGGGAAUAUUGCACAAUGGGCGAAAGCCUGAUGCAGCGACGCCGCGUGCGGGAUGACGGCCUUCGGGUUGUAAACCGCUUUUGACAGGGACGAAGCGCAAGUGACUGUACCUGUAGAAUAAGGACCGGCCAACUACGUG
rnacentral:rRNA from 1 species